AUGACGUAUCCUAGGGAUCAUCACCUGUCUAGGUUCCUAUGACGUAUCCUAGGGAUCAUCACCUGUCCAGGUUCCUAUGACGUAUCCUAGGGAUCAUCACCUGUCCAGGUUCCUAUGACGUAUCCUAGGGAUCAUCACCUGUCCAGGUUCCUAUGACGUAUCCUAGGGAUCAUCACCUGUCCAGGUUCCUAUGACGUAUCCUAGGGAUCAUCACCUGUCUAGGUUCCUAUGACGUAUCCUAGGGAUCAUCACCUGUCUAGGUUCCUAUGACGUAUCCUAGGGAUCAUCACCUGUCUAGGUUCCUAUGACGUAUCCUAGGGAUACUCACCUGUCUAGGUUCCUAUGACGUAUCCUAGGGAUCAUCACCUGUCCAGGUUCCUAUGACAUAUCCUAGGGAUCAUCACCUGUCUAGGUUCCUAUGACGUAUCCUAGGGAUCAUCACCUGUCUAGGUUCCUAUGACGUAUCCUAGGGAUCAUCACCUGUCCAGGUUCCUAUGACGUAUCCUAGGGAUCAUCACCUGUCUAGGUUCCUAUGACGUAUCCUAGGGGUACUCACCUGUCUAGGUUCCUAUGACGUAUCCUAGGGAUCAUCACCUGUCUAGGUUCCUAUGACGUAUCCUAGGGAUCAUCACCUGUCCAGGUUCCUAUGACGUAUCCUAGGGAUACUCACCUGUCUAGGUUCCUAUGACGUAUCCUAGGGAUCAUCACCUGUCUAGUUUCCUAUGACGUAUCCUAGGGAUCAUCACCUGUCUAGGUUCCUAUGACAUAUCCUAGGGAUCAUCACCUGUCUAGGUUCCUAUGACGUAUCCUAGGGAUCAUCACCUGUCCAGGUUCCUAUGACGUAUCCUAGGGAUCAUCACCUGUCUAGGUUCCUAUGACGUAUCCUAGGGAUCAUCACCUGUCUAGGUUCCUAUGACGUAUCCUAGGGAUCAUCACCUGUCUAGGUUCCUAUGACGUAUCCUAGGGAUACUCACCUGUCUAGGUUCCUAUGACGUAUCCUAGGAAUCAUCACCUGUCUAGGUUCCUAUGACGUAUCCUAGGGAUACUCACCUGUCUAGGUUCCUAUGACAUAUCCUAGGGAUCAUCACCUGUCUAGGUUCCUAUGACGUAUCCUAGGGAUACUCACCUGUCUAGGUUCAUAUGACGUAUCCUAGGGAUCAUCACCUGUAUAGGUUCCUAUGACGUAUCCUAGGGAUCAUCACCUGUCAAGGUUCCUAUGACGUAUCCUAGGGAUCAUCACCUGUCAAGGUUCCUAUGACGUAUCCUAGGGAUCAUCACCUGUCCAGGUUCCUAUGACGUAUCCAAGGGAUCAUCACCUGUCUAGGUUCCUAUGAUGUAUCCUAGGGAUCAUCACCUGUCUAGGUUCCUAUGACAUAUCCUAGGGAUCAUCACCUGUCUAGGUUCCUAUGACGUAUCCUAGGGAUCAUCACCUGUCUGGGUUCCUAUGACGUAUCCUAGGAAUCAUCACCUGUCCAGGUUCCUAUGACGUAUCCUAGGGAUCAUCACCUGUCUAGGUUCCUAUGAUGUAUCCUAGGGAUCAUCACCUGUCUAGGUUCCUAUGACGUAUCCUAGGGGUACUCACCUGUCUAGGUUCCUAUGACGUAUCCUAGGGAUCAUCACCUGUCUAGGUUCCUAUGAUGUAUCCUAGGGAUCAUCACCUGUCUAGGUUCCUAUGACGUAUCCUAGGGAUCAUCACCUGUCUAGGUACCUAUGACGUAUCCUAGGGAUCAUCACCUGUCUAGGUUCCUAUGACAUAUCCUAGGGAUCAUCACCUGUCUAGGUUCCUAUGACGUAUCCUAGGGAUCAUCACCUGUCCAGGUUCCUAUGACGUAUCCUAGGGAUCAUCACCUGUCCAGGUUCCUAUGACGUAUCCUAGGGAUACUCACCUGUCUAGGUUCCUAUUACGUAUCCUAGGGAUCAUCACCUGUCUAGGUUCCUAUGACGUAUCCUAGGGAUCAUCACCUGUCUAGGUUCCUAUGACGUAUCCUAGGGAUCAUCACCUGUAUAGGUUCCUAUGACAUAUCCUAGGGAUACUCACCUGUCUAGGUUCCUAUGACGUAUCCUAGGGAUCAUCACCUGUCUAGGUUCCUAUGACAUAUCCUAGGGAUCAUCACCUGUCUAGGUUCCUAUGACGUAUCCUAGGGAUCAUCACCUGUCCAGGUUCCUAUGACGUAUCCUAGGGAUCAUCACCUGUAUAGGUUCCUAUGACGUAUCCUAGGGAUACUCACCUGUCUAGGUUCCUAUGACGUAUCCUUGGGAUCAUCACCUGUCUAGGUUCCUAUGACGUAUCCUAGGGAUCAUCACCUGUCUAGGUUCCUAUGACAUAUCCUAGGGAUCAUCACCUGGCUGGGUUCCUAUGACGUAUCCUAGGGAUACUCACCUGUCUAGGUUCCUAUGACGUAUCCUAGGGAUCAUCACCUGUCUAGGUUCCUAUGACAUAUCCUAGGGAUCAUCACCUGUCUAGGUUCCUAUGGCGUAUCCUAGGGAUCAUCACCUGUCUAGGUUCCUAUGACGUAUCCUAGGGAUCAUCACCUGUCUAGGUUCCUAUGACGUAUCCUAGGGAUACUCACCUGUCUAGGUUCCUAUGACGUAUCCUAGGGAUCAUCACCUGUCCAGGUUCCUAUGACGUAUCCUAGGGAUCAUCACCUGUCUAGGUUCCUAUGACGUAUCCUAGGGAUCAUCACCUGUCUAGGUUCCUAUGACGUAUCCUAGGGAUCAUCACCUGUCUAGGUUCCUAUGACGUAUCCUAGGGAUCAUCACCUUUCUAGGUUCCUAUGACGUAUCCUAGGGAUCAUCACCUGUAUAGGUUCCUAUGACGUAUCCUAGGGAUCAUCACCUGUAUAGGUUCCUAUGACGUAUCCUAGGGAUCAUCACCUGUCUAGGUUCCUAUGACAUAUCCUAGGGAUCAUCACCUGUCUAGGUUCCUAUGACGUAUCCUAGGGAUACUCACCUGUCUAGGUUCCUAUGACGUAACCUAGGGAUCAUCACCUGUCUAGGUUCCUAUGACGUAUCCUAGGGAUCAUCACCUGUCUAGGUUCCUAUGACGUAUCCUAGGGAUCAUCACCUGUAUAGGUUCCUAUGACGUAUCCUAGGGAUCAUCACCUGUCUAGGUUCCUAUGACGUAUCCUAGGGAUCAUCACCUGUAUAGGUUCCUAUGACGUAUCCUAGGGAUCAUCACCUGUCUAGGUUCCUAUGACGUAUCCUAGGGAUCAUCACCUGUCUAGGUUCCUAUGACGUAUCCUAGGAAUUAUCACCUGUAACUACUGUCUUCAUUCUGCAUGGACAGACGUGCAACCUCUCUCAAACAUGUAACUCCCUGGCCAGUGAAGUGAUUGUCAUAACCCAUUAUCAUGUUCAUUUGUAUAUGCUCAUUAAGUUUUAAAGGUAUAAGUUAACAGUGUGUUUGACUCGGAUUAAAGUUUUAAUGUGAAAUUAUGCUUGAUUUCUGGUUAAUGUUAUUUGUUUUCCAAAAUCCAAUUGACAAUAAAAAUAAUGAAAUUA